AUCAAAGUUGUGCUAAAAAUUAUCCGAUAAGAAGUUGCUUAUACGAAGUUAUGCGUGGAAGUUAUGUAUAUAAGUUAUAAUAUUCUAAAAAUGGAAAAUCACGGGAUUUAAAACAUUCCCAAAGUGGAAAGUUCAGGGAUGUCACGAAUCGAUGGCUGGAAGCCAUCCUAGCACGCGUUAAUUCGCCUGUGUUGAUAUUUUUUAUCAAACAAGUAUACAAUCUAAUAGAAGGCAAAACGGUACGGGAUGAUCGGUGGGCCGGCUGGUGGUUAGCCACGUGGGGAGCUUCCAUAUGCCUUUUGGACAGUAGAUAAGCAACAUAUAUUAAAAGCUAAUGUUAAUCCCAUAUAUAAUUUUUUUUAAACAUCCAGCAACAGACAGUAUCAAUAAUUUUUAAAAAUCUAGCUUAAUUGUCAUCAACAUUUCUUUACGUUGACCACCAUUUUUAUAUGUACCAACAAUUUUUUAACUUUUUUUCAUCACUAACAUUAUUGCUCAACAAUUUUUUACGCACACCAACUCUUUUAUUUCAUCCACCAACAUUAUUUUGCUCAGCAUUGUUUUUACACUCACCAGCUUUUUUACGUUAAAAAAUGUUGAGAUAGUUCAUCUAUAAUGUUGACUUUUAAAAACUACAACAAAAUAUAGUCAUUUUAUUGCACUAAAUCUAAAUAACACUCAAACGGAAUAAAAAAUGGAGUUGCGGAGUUACGGUUUGAAACAAAAAUAUAUUUUAAGAUUGCAAAUCAAUUUAAUGCUCCCACCGAUAUGACCAACCAGAUCGUGACACAUGUUACGCCCACUCCUCUCUACCACUCACGUGCAUCUCAGCCAUUUAUUUAUUUCUUGCAGGAAUCUUGAAAGUGGAAGUAAUACUCCC
rnacentral:lncRNA from 1 species